rnacentral:sRNA from 1 species
AAACAAAAUAGUGCCCUAAGCCAAGGGUCAGGGAGAGGUUGCACAAGAAACCAAGGAGGCCCUUGGGAGCAAAAGAAAGGUGAGUGGGGGUGGAGGGUUGAAGGUCGGGCUGACUGUCUUAUGUCUCUAGGUCUUGGGUGGUGCCUAUGAUGAGUUCAUCUUUGCUCCUCGGCUGGACAAUCUGCACAGCUGCUUCUGUGCCCUGCAGGCCUUGAUAGAUUCCUGCGCAGGCCCUGGCUCCCUGGCCACGGAGCCUCACGUGCGCAUGAUCACACUCUAUGACAACGAAGAGGUGGGGUCUGAGAGUGCACAGGGAGCACAGUCACUGCUGACAGAGCUGGUGCUGCGGCGGAUCUCAGCCUCGUGCCAGCACCCGACGGCCUUCGAGGAAGCCAUACCCAAGUCCUUCAUGAUCAGCGCAGACAUGGCCCAUGCUGUGCAUCCCAACUACCUGUGAGUCUCUAGUGCCAGUCACACAGUCUUCACAUAGCUGGAGACCCAUAGCUGGAGACCGAGCAUAACCUGCCUUGGCCCCAGCCUCUUCCUUUCUCCCUUCUUCAUUCUGCCGGGAGGUUCAGGGGCACUUCCUUUUCACUACUGUGAGACCAACUUGGUCAAAGUCAUGCAAU